UCUGACUUUAUUCUCAGAAUUUUGAGGUGGGCACCUGCAGGCUUCCAGCUUCAGUGACAGCGAUGUGUCCAGUUUGGCAGGUGGAGAACUAAUUCACUAAAUAUGGUGGAUAUAAGUGACUUUUUGCGUGGCCGAGGGGUCCCCGAAGAUGCUAUUUUAUUAAUGGAAGAGCAGAAGAUUGACUGUGACGUCAUAGCACUGAUGGAUGACGCAACUUUGGCAAACUACAUGUCCCUCGUACGGAGACCGAAUUGCCUCUUCAAUUUCUGCAAAAGCAAGUGUGGCAGGAUGAAUGUUAUCCCUCGAUCCAACCCACUUUCAGCCUGGUCCAUUAGGGGGCACUGGUAUAAAUAGUGGCCAUUCGAGUGUCUCUGCAUCGCUUGCCUGUGAUCUCCUUUUUGGUCACCUGACUUCCUCGGUGUGGUAGAGAUCGUUUGUGGGUUACUCCUCUGAAGUCUCCAUCGCGGCUGGUCGUAGCUAUAGAAGCCUCCUCUGAGCUAUUCUGCUUACAUUCUAUGACACGGCUUACUUGGAAGUGUGGGCCUUAGUUUUGCGCCAAGCUACGUGAACUGAAGUGCUGCUGUUUUGCCUUGCUGUGCUUUUAUCGUCUGUUCCCGUUGUGAGAUUUCUUUCCCUGCUGCUGUCAGCUUUUACAGUGGACGUCGGCGUGGACAACGGCCAUAUGCAUGCCGGUUAUCGGAGUCAGCUGGCGUGCAUAUUGAUUGACUGUUAACUUGUCGUCGUGUGACGGCAAGUUGGAGCAGUACGGCGAUUCCGUUUGCUCCAGAUUUUAGAGUUUUAUCCAGAUUGUAUGUUUUAUUGCUUUUGAUUUGUAGUUUGGAUUUUUGUUACACCACUGGUGGGAGGCCCUUUUUCUAGCUGUAGAUCACCAGUGUGGUCUUGCAGUUGGGUUAUCCCCCGGUGCUACACAUUAGUUUGUUGUAAUAUAUUAAAAUUUUCUUUGUUUCUUUUAUUCAGAUGCGGAGUGCCGACGUGGAGGAGACUAGGGUGCCUUGGUGGUGGGAUCCCUUGAGUGUACACACCUGCCUUGUUUAGUUUAUUAGUGUGAGUGUGUGUGAUAGUGUGCUGCACUUGUGUUUUGGGUGUGUUUUCUUUCUUUAGUUUGUGUGUGGCAUCCCUGCCCCUCCACUGGUAAGCCUCAGCUCUGAAUACCUUUUUAAGCAUAUUUGUACUUGAAUAUUUAUGAUUGUGCUUUUAUAUGGUGUUUUAAAUAAUUAUUAAUAAAUUGUCAAUUUGUUGAUCAUUGAACCUCGUCUCUGGAUUGAGUAUAGCGAACCUAAGUGCCUUUCUGGUGAUUUAGUGUUACUUUCAGUAUUCUCUGGGUGAAAUUCCCAGGGUGGCGUUGUCUUUUUAAAACUGCAAAGAGUAUUUACUUUAAUAUCCCAUCCUCGUCUCGCCACACAAGCAACCACUGUCAAAAAGAAAACUAGGACUUCUGCAAAAAGUUCACCUCUCAAAGUGAGAGAAACAGUGGCUGACAUAUCAGAUUUGGAUGACUUAAUAAGACUGUAUUUCAGACUUUCUUUCAGUAACAAAGAAAUACUUUCAAUUUUAGCACAUAGUCAUCAGACAAUUAUAAGUGUUCGAACUCUAAAGAGAAUUUGUAAAAGACUUGGGCUUUUUAGAAGGAAGAAUCAAUCAAACUUGGAGGAAGUGCUAGCCUUUGUCCAACAAGAGAUCAUGACAAAUGGACAGAUGCAAGGUUAUCGUUGGCUACAUCUACGUGCAAUUCAACAUGGAUUUGUGGUGUCACAAGAUACUGUAAGAUGCAUAAUCAAAUUGCUUGACCCUCAAGGUGUGGAACUGAGACGAGCUCGACGGUUGAGAAGACGACAGUACAGCUGCAGAGGGCCAAAUGCUCUCUGGCACAUGGAUGGCUAUGACAAGUUGAAACCAUAUGGUAUUGCUAUCAGUGGCUGCAUAGAUGGUUUUAGCCGCUAUGUUUUAUGGAUGGAGGCUUAUACUACAAACAGUGACCCUAAAUUGAUUGCAAGUUAUUUUCUGAAAACAGUUUCAUGCAUCAGCGGAUGUCCAGAAAGGUUACGUGCUGACCGAGGUACCGAAAAUGGUUGUGUCGAACAAAUGCAGAUGUUUUUACGGAGAAACCACACAGACAGUUUUGCAGGUGAGAAAAGUUUCCUUUACGGAAGAAGUACGGCCAACCAACGUAUAGAAGGAUGGUGGGCUACCCUACGCAAACAGAGUGCACAAUUUUGGAUGAACUUAUUUCAAACUUUUCAGGAUGAUGGCCACUUCACAGGGGAUUUUUUGGACAAAAGUCUUAUCCAAUUCUGCUUUCUCAAUCUUAUUCAGGUAAAAGCAUGUGCUCAUGCUAUGUAAUGUCUUAGCUGCAUAAAUAGAAAAUAUAAAUAUGGUUAGAACAUUUUUUUUCUUUAAAUUAAAUAUGAAUUUUAUUUCCAUUUUAAUGAGCCCACUUAUGCACAAUUGUCAUGGUUUUUUGUGUUUACAGUAUAGUGUUUUUUCUAUUACUGUAUUAUUGUGUUGUUGUUGUUUUUUUUGCUUUAUCUGAAUUCAUGGUACUGCAAUGUACAAUAUUGAGUAGGUCUAUUUGCGUUUUUGGUUGUUUGAAAAUGUGUCUCCUGAAAAUGUGCCUUCUGAAUAAACAAUGGAAAUCAAGGACUGCAGUGUUUUAUAUAAAGAAGACUAGUGUGUUCCCCCUGAUCUGUAAGUGUUUGCAUAUGAUGCAAGUAUGUGUCAUUUUGUCAACAGAGUUACAUUUUGACAAAGGAAUGUCAGGUUUUGACAGCAGAGUUUAGGUUUUGGGAGUAGAGUUUCAAUUUGGCACAGAUGUGAAUGGUAUAUUUCCCAGUGUUGUGUCAUGUGUACUUGUGUGUACAGUUUUGGCACAGAGAGCGGAGUUUUGCAAAAUGUGUUCAAGCAGUGGGCAAAAACUGUAACACCUGAAAAAAUGUCUUGUUACUGCCAGAAAUUAUGCAUUUUUAUUUGUAUGCAUGUAUGUUCUCAGUCAUUCACACUUGUUUUUAUUUCUAUACCAUAGAUGACACUGAAGGAAUAUGUGAUACCACAAUAGCCAGUGUUCAUGGUCUUUACAGUAAGUCACUGAUGUAUACUGAUGCAUAACAAGACUGUAUGAGAUCUAUAAGUUUGUUUUAAAAGUUGAGUCAUUCUUGUUACAGGGCAGCUUAUACGGUUAUGAGUUUUAGCCAUGUUAUUGGCAUUGGCAAGAACAGGUUUCUUGUAAACUUUUUCCAAUAAAAUGUUACUGUACACAGUACAUUUGUAUUGUUGUUUUGAAUAUGUUCAUCAACUCCUUAUCUAUUUGAACAUGCCAGAAUUCAAGAGACUGCCACACAUGAGCUCAGUAACAUGGAAGAAUACCAUUUAUUUUUAAUUUCAAACAUUUCAUAAAGAUACACAAAUAUAAAUGUAAAACAUGUUGCACUUAAUGGGACAAUAACUUGGUUCCACUUGCAGGAACUGUUUUGUUGCAUUGUUGCUGGGAUACUACAAAUAAAAGUCAAAAUAUU